UACGUAGGGUGCGAGCGUUGUCCGGAAUUAUUGGGCGUAAAGGGCUCGUAGGCGGUCUGUCGCGUCGGUAGUGAAAACUCAGGGCUUAACCCUGAGCCUGCUUCCGAUACGGGCAGACUAGAGGUAUGCAGGGGAGAAUGGAAUUCCGGGUGUAGCGGUGGAAUGCGUAGAGAUCCGGAAGAACACCGGUGGCGAAGGCGGCCUGCUGGGCAGUUGCUGACACUGAGGCGCGACAGCGUGGGGAGCAAACAGG
rnacentral:rRNA from 1 species